rnacentral:rRNA from 1 species
GUCCUGGAAAUACCACCCUGGUAAUGUUGAGGUUCUAACUCUGUCCCGUGAUCCGGGACGAGGACCGUGUCUGGUGGGUAGUUUGACUGGGGCGGUCUCCUCCUAAAGAGUAACGGAGGAGUACGAAGGUGCGCUCAGCGUGGUCGGAAAUCACGCGUAGAGUAUAAAGGCAAAAGCGCGCUUAACUGCGAGACCCACAAGUCGAGCAGGUACGAAAGUAGGUCUUAGUGAUCCGGUGGUUCUGUAUGGAAGGGCCAUCGCUCAACGGAUAAAAGGUACUCUGGGGAUAACAGGCUGAUACCGCCCAAGAGUUCAUAUCGACGGCGGUGUUUGGCACCUCGAUGUCGGCUCAUCUCAUCCUGGGGCUGAAGCAGGUCCCAAGGGUAUGGCUGUUCGCCAUUUAAAGAGGUACGCGAGCUGGGUUUAGAACGUCGUGAGACAGUUCGGUCCCUAUCUACCGUGGGCGCUGGAAAUUUGAGAGGAUCUGCUCCUAGUACGAGAGGACCAGAGUGGACGAACCUCUGGUGUACCGGUUGUGACGCCAGUCGCAUCGCCGGGUAGCUAUGUUCGGAAGGGAUAACCGCUGAAAGCAUCUAAGCGGGAAGCCUACCUCAAGAUAAGAUUUCCCUAGGACUUUAUGUCCUCUAAAGAGCCGUUCGAGACUAGGACGUUGAUAGGUUGGAUGUGGAAGCAUAGUGAUAUGUGAAGCUGACCAAUACUAAUUGCUCGUGAGGCUUGACUAUACAACACCCAAGCAGUUG